rnacentral:rRNA from 1 species
GUCUACGGUCAUGCCAUCCUGAACAUGCCGAUCUUGUCUGAUCUCAGAAGCUAAGCAGGGCCGGGCCUGGUUAGUACUUGGAUGGGAGACCACCUAGGAAGACCGAGUGCUAUAGGCG